UGCAAAUGAUGUUGACUGCUGUCUAAACAACCUUGAUGACAACCACCAAGAUCGCUGAUGCA
rnacentral:snoRNA from 1 species